GAUGAACGCUAGCGGCAGGCUUAAUAUAUGCAAGUCGAACGGUAAGGUCUCUUCGGAGAUACACGAGUGGCGCACGGGUGCGUAACGCGUAUGCAACCUACCUCUAACUGGGAAAUAGCACCGAGAAAUCGGGAUUAAUGUCCCAUAUUAUUCUCUGAUAGCAUUAUCGGGGAAUGAAAGCUCCGGCGGUUAUUGAUGGGCAGGCGUGCAAUUAGCUAGUUGGUGAGGUACCGGCUCACCAAGGCAACGAUGUCUAGGGGUCCUGAGAGGGUUACCCACACACUGGUACUGAGACACGGACCAGACUCCAACGGGAGGCAGCAGUAAGGAAUAUUGGGCAAUAGACGCAAGUCUGACCCAGCCAUGCCGCGUGAAGGAUGACUGUCCUAUGGAUUGUAAACUUCUUUUAUGCAGGAAAAAUAGCCUGGUCGUGAACCGGGUUUGAUGGUACUGUAUGAAUAAGCAUCGGCUAACUCCGUGCCAGCCGCCGCAGUAA
rnacentral:rRNA from 1 species